UAUUGGACAAUGGGCGAGAGCCUGAUCCAGCAAUACCGCGUGUGUGAAGAAGGCCUUAGGGUUGUAAAGCACUUUCAAUUGGGAGGAAAACCUGCCGGUCAAUACCCGGUAGCUUGACAUUACCUUUAGAAGAAGCACCGGCCAACUCCGUGCCAGCAGCCGCGGUAAUACGGAGGGUGCGAGCGUUAAUCGGAAUUACUGGGCGUAAAGCGUGCGUAGGCGGUUCGUUAAGUCAGAUGUGAAAGCCCUGGGCUCAACCUGGGAACUGCAUUUGAAACUGGCGGACUAGAGUUUAGUAGAGGGGAGUGGAAUUUCAGGUGUAGCGGUGAAAUGCGUAGAUAUUUGAAGGAACACCAGUGGCGAAGGCGACUCCCUGGACUAGAACUGACGCUGAGUCGAAA
rnacentral:rRNA from 1 species